rnacentral:rRNA from 1 species
ACAAACCUACGGGAGGCAGCAGUAGGGAAUCUUCCACAAUGGGCGAAAGCCUGAUGGGGCAACGCCGCGUGGGUGAAGAAGGUCUUCGGAUCGUAAAACCCUGUUGUUAGAGAAGAAAGUGCGUGAGAGUAACUGUUCACAUUUCGACGGUAUCUAACCAGAAAGCCACGGCUAACUACGUGCCAGCAGCCGCGGUAAUACGUAGGUGGCAAGCGUUAUCCGGAUUUAUUGGGCGUAAAGGGAACGCAGGCGGCCUUUUACGUCUGAUGUGAAAGCCUUCGGCUUAACCGGA